GAUCACUAUUAUCACAUCAACCAACAAAGACAAAGGAUAUCAUCAGUAUUGAAACAGCCAGGGAGAAAUGGGGGUUCAAUAAUUGUAGACACAUGAGGCGGCAAAUUGGCCAAGGCUUUCUGCAGAUCUAUUGGUGGUGGAGGUUCUGGGAGUGCUCGGAAACGCCGGUUCAUAGGAAUGCUAUUCCUUGCGAAAUCACAUAAUAUACAACACAAUAAAUUAACAAAUUGAUUCUCAGAUACGACAAAGAAACCUCGCAUAAACAAAAUCAGAUCAAUAGAGGCAGCAAGCAAUUCC